rnacentral:rRNA from 1 species
CACGUAGGGGGCAAGCGUUGUCCGGAUUUAUUGGGCGUAAAGAGCUCGUAGGCGGUUUCGUAAGUCGGGUGUGAAAACUCUAGGCUCAACCUAGAGACGCCACCCGAUACUGCGAUGACUAGAGUCCGGUAGGGGAGUGUGGAAUUCCUGGUGUAGCGGUGAAAUGCGCAGAUAUCGGGAGGAACAUCAGUGGCGAAGGCGGCUGCCUGGCCCAAUACUGACACUCAGGUGCGACAGCGUGGGGAGCAAACAGG